GAAAUAGCUUGCAAUUAACAGUUUUCUCAUUUAACUACUAUGGCUAAACUUUCUACCAACACGAUACGAGUCAGUACUCAUGGCUACUCAGGUUAUGCAAUAAAUGAGUAUGUGCAUUGCAAAGAAGGUACUUAUGAUAUUAGUGGCGAUUACACCAAACCAGCGGUAGGGCUUUUACCAAUAAUGUCAAUAAUUGCCAUAUACAUGCAUUGCAA
rnacentral:lncRNA from 1 species